GUGUGUGAGCGAGAAUGAGAGAGAGAGAGAGAGAGAGAGAGAGAGAGAGAGAGAGAGAGAGCGUUCAAUCUUGGUUGUGGGAGAGUCAGGUCAGAUCAGGAAUUGAAUGCAAACCUGCUCAGCGAGUCCCGCUCAGAACCUGCAGACAUGCUGGCAAAGGGGAAUGUGCGACGUCCGCCACUAGCUCGCUGCUGAUAUUUUCUCUUCCUUAUUUGAUGACAGAUGGGGGAAAGGAGAGAGAAAACAACCAGCACACAUCUUCUUGACCUCUCUCGCACCGCCCGAGACGCGGGGCGGAAGUUGGCCUCUGUCUUUGGUUAUCUAGCUGUAUGAGUAUAACUGAUCUAUCAUAAAGCUAGAUAACCGAAAGUAGAAUCCACUUCCACAGCUUCGGGGAGAGGAAGAGCGGACACACGGCGAGCAGAAACGCCAAGAAUCAGAAAAGAAAACUCGCGGUCACAGUCAUCAGAUCGACUGGAGACAAUACGACCACCACAGGCCGCGAAACGACAUUUCCUGAAGCAAACGUGAAAAGACUGGAGAGGAGGCAGUGGUGACACAAACGACAUCGUCCGUCCUUGCAUCGGCACAUACUUCGAUAAGAACAAAACACAAUACGCCUUCAAAUCCCACCUGAAGACUGCGAUUUCUUUAGCUUUCCCGAUGAUACAGCGCUUCUGGAGACGUGAAGCUGUCGCCGUGAGCCAGGAGGGGCAACAGGCUGGAAGGCAAACGAGGAUGGCCUGAAUGGCCAGCUGGCAGCCAUUUUGUGUGAGAGAGAGAGAGAGAGAUGGAGCUUGCAGCCAUCUUGAGGGGUGGGGCUGCAGUUCCUAUCGUGGACGCAUUGCCACACAGUGUGGCAUAAGAUUUGACAUCCAGGGUCAACCGAAGAGCUGUCCUUGCCACGGAGGGCUUGCCUCUAAUCGCAGAGGAAACCCAAUAGCACCACGACACGAACGUUGCAAGGGCCUGAGUCUCGGAGAUAAGAUGGAAGACAUGACAUCUGGGUGAAAGUUGGAAUGGAUUACCAGACUUUGACUUUUAGGACCAUUGGUCAGAUAUAAUUUGAUGAAGACUUGAAGCAUUUGGUCGAUAAUAUUGAUUUUUGGCCAUUGAACUUUGUUAGGGAAGAACCUCGACUUUCAGUCACUUUGUAUUUUAUUGUCACGAGUUACUUCUCCUCAAUUUUUAUUUUGCACCAUCGGAUGAGGCAUCGAUCGUACAGACGAGCGAACAAAGAUUUAUGUGUGUGUGAUGGGCUGAUUUGGAAAUGGUCAGACUAUGCAUUCGCACCAAAAGACACAUAAAAGGACAUGAUAUUCGGGCCAAAGCAAUGUCUAAUGGAAAAUAAGUUUCUAUUUGUAUUUUUCGAUCUCCGAUUGGCGUGGAUGGAUUUCGGAGCAACCUCCAUAGACGUUCAUUCUGAAUAUGAAUUGAGAUACGUUGCAUGAAUUGAGUAUGCUUUGAGAUAUUUCUAAUGACUGAUGUUAACUUUCAAUCUGCUGUAAAUUGGCAUGGCCGAAGAUAGACACAAAAUGCUGGAGUAACUAACUCAGCGGGACAGGCAAGAUCUCUGGAUAGAAGGAAUUGUCUUUGUGAUGCUUAAUCAGUCGCCCAAAAAAAUUGAUAUACUAGUACAAGGUACACAAAAAUGCUGGAGAAAC